GACGCGAGGUUGGCCGCUGGGGCGCGCGGCUCUCCUACCCGCAGGUAUUCCUUGGCUACCGUGGAUAGUGACUGCGCUCUUCUGCCUGAGAGUGGUUCAAACUGCCACUGGACCAGGAAUCACAAUUUUAAACCCAGUCCAUUGCUCGUCUGGCCUUCCUUCCCCCAAAUGAGCACCUCCCUGGGCCUCAGAGUCUGCGCCUGAAGUUGAGGUGUUUCAGAAAGAAGGAGACUGGAUGGCCCAUUUUGUGUCCAGAGCAAGGAUGAAGAGGCCAGUGAUAUCGCUACAGAGGAACACCCUUGACCCAGGAACCUGACAGAAGAAAUGACAUCACACCAAAGACCUCUAACGUGGCCUUGUGGCCUGGAGAGCACAGCUCCAAGUUCAAGCCACCGCUCUGCAGCCACUUUCUAGCUGCAACUUGGGUCUGGCUGGGACCCAGGUGAGCAAGCAAGACGCCCAGGACUCCAACUUUCAGAAGGCAUUCACCACCUGGCUCACAGGAAAGUGGAGUCCAGACCCGUGAGUUAGUUCCCGGCCCCCCUUGGCCCCUCCCUGCUGAAAGUGACCAUGAAAACCAGGUAAGAUAUACCCAGUGACAAUAUGACGCCCUCAAAGAUGCAGACACUAGUGCACAGCCAGGUGUGGGGAGGUAGAGCCAACAAACCUGGGGAGGCGAGGGGGCAAGGAGCCAGUGAAGGUUGUACUGUCCACCAGGUAACUGCUGGGAUAAGUGGGGGUUUCUGCCAACUGAUUUGGGGUGUGAGAUCCAGGUGUUUGUCCACCAACUCCCCUGGAGUGCUGCUCGGGAAUAUUAACUCCCUGGCAUCCAGCCCUCGCCCAGGGCGAAGCUCCUGUUCCCUUUUCUGACCCAAGGAAGCCUCGAGAUGAGAGUGAUAGGGGAUAACAGGCUCUCUGGGGCUGGGCACCAGCAGUGCCUGCCGUGUGGAAGAGGUUUCAUUUUCCUCGGAAGAUGCUGGAGCCCUAUCAGAGUCCCACUGUACUGAGGUGCAUUAGCUGCAACAGAGCCCUAGAUUUAUAGCAGCAGCCCCCAAAUAUGGUUGAUCAGAAUCCCUGGGGUAGCUUCACUCCCUAACUAUCUGAAGGACCUCAGAGUGGCACCCCAAAUCCAGCCCCAGCCUGCUUCCGGGUAGAUGUGACAGCUGAAUGGAAUCUGUUGACCCCGGGCCAACCUAGGAGGUGGUUGAUAAAGUACACGUCCUGCUUUUCUUUUGCCCUCAUCUUUUUUCUAGAAGUAACAGGCAGGGGAGAAAUGGUUUGUUGAUUCAAGACAUCUGCUGUUAUAAAAUUUAAAUAAAUAUCAUGCCCUUGGUAUUGCCUACACCAAAUAAUCAUUAUGUGCCAUAAAAAGAAGAAUCAGAUGGCUUGAACUUAUUGAGCGGGAGUGAAGGGGGACUAACAUACACAGGCCAAAGUGGAAAAUAAAGAGAUAAAAGACAUUGGUUAAAAUCCUGGAAUCCUAGAAGAAAUCUUAUAUUUUCUUAAAAGACCCCUGGGGUAGCUGAAGUCCCUAGGGAGGCAACAGCAGGUAAAAUGGCACCAAAGUGGGAAAGAACAGGGCAUAUUCCAGGAGGGCACCCGGUGUGGCUGAAGGACAAAAGGCACCCCUGCUGGCCAGCCCAAGAUCAACCACCAGGCCACACGCUGGUCCUAGGACUGUGUCUGUCCAGGGAAAGGGGCACCUUCCUGAGGCGCCAUCUAUAGGAAAGGUCCAAGUUCUUACAUCGCAGAGGGCGCCUUAUGGCCUGGUCCUGUGUUUCAAAAUCUGAAAGCCAGACAAGCAGCUAGGUCAUGAGGAGGGCUUGGUUUGGUGGGUAAGUCAGUGGUGCUGGACCACCCACCACCCAGAUCUGUGGGCUUUUGCAGGGGACCUGGACUUCCUUCUGGACGUGAUAGGCUUGAAUGAGGGUUUAAAGCAGGCAAGUGACAUGCUUUGAUUCAUGUUUUAAAAAGAUCAUAAGGCUUCAAUGUGAAGACUGAAUCACAGUGAGAAACAGUGAUGCAUGUCACCCCAUCCGGGUGAGAGGUGCUGGGGUUUGGGUUCAGGAUACAAGGUAACUAUGGAGAUGAAGAAGUGUACUUUGAUGGAAAAAUAGGACUUUCCAGACAUGCUGGUGAUAAAUAGGGGACAACGAGGACAAUUUUUUACUGUUGUAUAACUUUGUCCCCAACUUUGUAGGACCUUCCUCACUGACAGUACAUCCCAGCUAAAAGCCCUUGUUCCGCGUGCUGCCAGGUGACUCCACAGUAGCCUCUGUCCUCAGGGUGACAGACUGAAGAGGGAAACAAUAAUGGCAGGACACAAAAGAUACUGAAACCAAGACCCAGAGGUUUCACUAACUUGACCUAGGAACACAGAGCAGCACCAUGGUGGAGACCCAGGACCUCCAAUGGACGCAGAGACCUCCCCGGCAUGCCACGGUGCGGUGGGGCAGCUGGUGUUGUGAAUCAGGCCGUUGCAAUCCGAGAACGGCUACUUCACAACACCAGGGUCGCACCCCACCACA